rnacentral:tRNA from 1 species
UGCCGGAUAGUUCAGCUGGCAGAACGCUUGUCUCUGAAACAAGAGGUCCUAGGUUCGAAUCCUAGUCCGGCAGCCA